rnacentral:rRNA from 1 species
AUGCACGCUAGCGGGAGGCCUCACACAUGCAAGCCGAGCGGUAUUGUUUCUUCGGAAAUGCGAGAGCGGCGUACGGGUGCGUAACACGUGUGCAACCUGCCUUUAUCUGGGGGAUAGCCUUUCGAAAGGAAGAUUAAUACUCCAUAAUAUAUUGAACGGCAUCGUUUAAUAUUGAAAGCUCCGGCGGAUAGAGAUGGGCACGCGCAAGAUUAGCUAGUUGGUGAGGUAACGGCUCACCAAGGCGAUGAUCUUUAGGGGCCUGAGAGGGUGAUCCCCCACACUGGUACUGAGACACGGACCAGACUCCUACGGGAGGCAGCAGUGAGGAAUAUUGGUCAAUGGGUGCAAGCCUGAACCAGCCAUCCCGCGUGAAGGACGACUGCCCUAUGGGUGGUAAACUUCUUUUGUAGAGGGAUAAACCUACCCUCGUGAGGGUAGCUGAAGGUACUAUACGAAUAAGCACCGGCUAACUCCGUG